UCGAGAAAUAGGGAAAUCGAGAAAUAGGGAAAUCGAGAAAUAUGGAAAUAGAGAAAGCAAAAAAAAACGCGAAAACGCGAAAGCGAAUACGCGAAAACGCGAAAUAAAUUUCUCGAUUUCGCGUUUUCGCUUUCUCCAUUUCCCAAUUUUUCGAUUUCUCGAUUUCUCCAUUUCCCGAUUUCUUAAU
rnacentral:sRNA from 1 species